AGUGAUCGCUGGCGGUAGGCCUAAUACAUGCAAGUCGAACGGCCGCACAAUAAGAUCUCGCUCUUACGCGUGGCGAGUGACUGACGGGUGAGGAAUACAUCCGUAUCUACUUUUUCGUGGGGGAGAACGUAGGGAAACUUACGCUAAUACAGCAUACGACCUACUUGUUUAAUCAGGGGAUCUUCAGACAUUGCGCGAUUUAAUGAGCCGAGGUCGGAUUAGCUAGUUGGCUGGUUAAAGGCCGACCAAGGCGACGAUCCGUACCUGGUCUGAUAGGAUGAUGAGCAACACUGGAACUGAGACACGGUCCAGACUCUUAGGGGGGGAAGCAGUGGGGAAUAUUGGACAAUGGGCGCAAGCCUGACGCAGACAGACCGGGUGGGUGAGGAAGGUCUUCGGGUUGUAAAGCCCUUUUGUUGGGAAAGAAAAGCAGGAGGUUAAAACCCUGAUGUUCUGACGGUACCCAAAGAGUAAGCAACGGCUAACUUCGUG
rnacentral:rRNA from 1 species